rnacentral:tRNA from 1 species
GGCGCUGUGGCUCAAGUGGUAGAGCGCUAGCCUUGAGCUGCCUGAGGCCCUGGGUUCGAUUCCUCAGCACCA